rnacentral:rRNA from 1 species
GUCUUCGAGUCGUUGAUUUCACACUGCCGAGAAAAGCCUCUAGAUAGAAAAUAGGUGCCCGUACCGCAAACCGACACAGGUAGUCAAGAUGAGAAUUCUAAGGUGAGCGAGCGAACUCUCGUUAAGGAACUCGGCAAAAUGACCCCGUAACUUCGGGAGAAGGGGUGCUCUUUAGGGUUAACGCCCAGAAGAGCCGCAGUGAAUAGGCCCAAGCGACUGUUUAUCAAAAACACAGGUCUCUGCUAAACCGUAAGGUGAUGUAUAGGGGCUGACGCCUGCCCGGUGCUGGAAGGUUAAGAGGAGUGGUUAGCUUCUGCGAAGCUACGAAUCGAAGCCCCAGUAAACGGCGGCCGUAACUAUAACGGUCCUAAGGUAGCGAAAUUCCUUGUCGGGUAAGUUCCGACCCGCACGAAAGGCGUAACGAUUUGGGCACUGUCUCAACGAGAGACUCGGUGAAAUCAUAGUACCUGUGAAGAUGCAGGUUACCCGCGACAGGACGGAAAGACCCCGUGGAGCUUUACUGUAGCCUGAUAUUGAAAUUCGGCACAGCUUGUACAGGAUAGGUAGGAGCCUUUGAAACGUGAGCGCUAGCUUACGUGGAGGCGCUGGUGGGAUACUACCCUAGCUGUGUUGGCUUUCUAACCCGCACCACUUAUCGUGGUGGGAGACAGUGUCAAGCGGGCAGUUUGACUGGGGCGGUCGCCUCCUAAAAGGUAACGGAGGCGCUCAAAGGUUCCCUCAGAAUGGUUGGAAAUCAUUCAUAGAGUGUAAAGGCAUAAGGGAGCUUGACUGCGAGACCUACAAGUCGAGCAGGGUCGAAAGACGGACUUAGUGAUCCGGUGGUUCCGCAUGGAAGGGCCAUCGCUCAACGGAUAAAAGCUACCCCGGGGAUAACAGGCUUAUCUCCCCCAAGAGUUCACAUCGACGGGGAGGUUUGGCACCUCGAUGUCGGCUCAUCGCAUCCUGGGGCUGUAGUCGGUCCCAAGGGUUGGGCUGUUCGCCCAUUAAAGCGGUACGCGAGCUGGGUUCAGAACGUCGUGAGACAGUUCGGUCCCUAUCCGUCGUGGGCGUAGGAAAUUUGAGAGGAGCUGUCCUUAGUACGAGAGGACCGGGAUGGACAUACCUCUGGUGUACCAGUUGUCGUGCCAACGGCAUAGCUGGGUAGCUAUGUGUGGACGGGAUAAGUGCUGAAAGCAUCUAAGCAUGAAGCCCCCCUCAAGAUGAGAUUUCCCAACUUCGGUUAUAAGAUCCCUCAAAGAUGAUGAGGUUAAUAGGUUCGAGGUGGAAGCAUGGUGACAUGUGGAGCUGACGAAUACUAAUCGAUCGAAGACUUAAUCAAAA